rnacentral:lncRNA from 1 species
UUUUUACUUCAUAUUCGUUUUUCGACUUUAGUGAAUUGCUAAGAUAAUUUAGUGGCUAUUGCUGUUUUUGUUUAUUUAUGAAUAAAAUGGUGAGAUUUUUUACAGCUAAUAUCUUUGUUGGUUUGUGUUCAUCAAAUCUGCAACAGUGCUGUUAAAGGCUCUCUUAAAGCGUGCUUAAGCCUGAAGCUCAGGUUGUGUGCUUUGACUCUCUUAAUUGUUGCUUUGGUGUAGGCGUCAAGGGUUUCUGUCUUGAAGGGAACAUCAUCAUGUAUAUAGCCGAGUUAUAGUAGUUCCACUCUAUUUUUUUGUUUUUCAUCAUUGGCACUAUUUUUCGGCGAAGCCCACACAUUAAUUGCGCUAUGCGCUUAAAGCACCAACAGCCUUUGGUGCUUUUCGUUUUUGGCUACUUGGAUUCGCAAGGAUCACUUAUUAUGUUUUUUUUGAUCACUCUAUCUUGAACAACUUUUUUUUAGUGAAGCAUCAUAUAAUUUUUCUUUUAGAGGGUGUUCACAUUGCUUUACAUAUCGUUAAGAUUCUUGACAUGCGACUUUGGCUAUAGAAUGGGUUGGCUUGACUUUUUUGUUGUUGUUGCGAUGAGUAAAUGGCUUAUCUUUCAGCUUAAUUUUUCCUCUAUUAUUUGUUUUUAGUUUAGUAAUUCUUCCAAAUGUUGAGUACUGGUGGUGUUUGUUUGUGGAAUUCGAACUUCACAUGUCAAUAAUUUUUAAAGUUGGUGUUUGUUUGACUUUUUCUUAGCAAAAGUUGCAAAACAACUGUUCGAACUUUAAGUCUUUGAAAUUGUGGUUUGGAAGUUGUUCCGAGUGAAGCUUUUGCAAAUUCUCAACUUCCAUUCACCCAAAAAGAAAAGAAAACCUUCCAUUCACAGGUCUUCAACUCCCACUAUCAUUUUUUUUUUAAAAACUACGAGCCCGCUUAGCCAUCGAUAUUUCAGUAACUAUAAAUAUUGAACUUCAAUAUUUGCCAACAAUUGGAACACAAUUUCAGCUUCAGCAAACUUUUCCCAGCUUCUACUGUAAUGGUUGUCCAAACAGAGAUCACAAUCUUUUAUAUGUUGCAGCUUUUACUCUUAUUUCUUGCAUUAACAGCUUAUUUUCCCGAUUUUUUUUUAGUUAUUUUUUGGUCGGUAUGAUUAAAAUCAGUAAUCAAAAAUGUUUUACAAAAAUGGCAGAUAGAUGUAUCAAGUAGAUAUUGAUCAUGGGCAAGAGAAGCAAUCGCGUCCCCCUGCUGCAGAUGGGGGCGAGGAAUCAAUCCAUGCUGUUGGACAAGAGGGGAUGGGUCAACAAAUCCAUCUUGAGAGGAGAAAAGGGAAAUUGACUUCCAAG